UCGCAGUGCUCGCCGAGAUUUGUAGUCUCUCUCCUGCCAUCGGGUUAGCCCUUCGGGUCUCCGGCUCACACCCACCCCAGGCUCGGAAUUGGGACAACUGGGUGCGUGCCGGGGUGGGCGGACCUGCUUAUUGCAGAUGUCAGAACGUUUCGUGGUAAUCCGAGGGGAAAACACCUCUGUCUUUCAAUUGCUCCGAGGACCACUGCCAAAGAUACUCCCUUCAGGGAACCGGGGAGGGGGGUCCGCCAUAUUGGUGAAGGCAGACGAAAGCGCCUAGAGCUCCAGGAUGGUUGGCUCUGCGGGCGCAAAUCCGCCAUAUUAUUAAAGAGAAAGGGAAGGUUGACCCUCCUUUGCAACCCUCCUUCCAUACACACCCUUUUCCCCACCCUGCUUUCGCGACUAAGCUUGCUGGGCCCUUCGCUUGCCUCAGUUGUCUAGCCUUUGUCCGAAGAAAGCUUAGCAGCUCAGAUAGCACCGAAUGAGGGGUAAAGGGAAAUGCCGACCAAUUGCGCCGCAGCGGGCUGUGCAACUACCUACAACAAGCACAUUAACAUCAGCUUCCACAGGUUUCCUUUGGAUCCUAAAAGAAGAAAAGAAUGGGUUCGCCUAGUUAGACGCAAAAACUUUGUACCAGGAAAACACACUUUUCUUUGUUCAAAGCACUUUGAAGCCUCCUGUUUUGACCUAACAGGACAAACUCGACGACUUAAAAUGGAUGCUGUUCCAACCAUUUUUGAUUUUUGUACCCAUAUAAAGUCUAUGAAACUCAAGUCAAGGAAUCUUUUGAAGAAAAACAACAGUUGUACUCCAGCAGGACCAUCUAAUUUAAAAUCAAACAUUAGUAGUCAACAAGUACUACUUGAACACAGUUAUGCCUUUAGGAAUCCAAUGGAGGCAAAAAAAAGGAUAAUUAAACUGGAAAAGGAAAUAGCAAGCUUAAGAAGAAAAAUGAAAACUUGCCUACAAAAAGAACGAAGAGCAACUCGAAGAUGGAUCAAAGCCACAUGCUUGGUGAAGAAUUUAGAAGCAAAUAACAUAUUACCUAAGGGCACAUCAGAACAGAUUUUACCAACUGCCUUAAGCAAUCUUCCUUUGGAAGAUUUCAAGAUUGUUGAACAAAAUCAACAGGAUAAAACAUUACCAAUUCUCUAAAUCUAAACAGACCAAGAUUAUCUUUUAAGUUUAUCUUCACAGAACUUGAUGACCAUCCUUCAUUAUUUUCAGAGGGUAAAAAUGGGAGUUCAUAACCCACUUGAAUCAAAGUGUGAAAUAUGAUAUAUCAAGAACUAUGUGAUGUUUUGAACAACCAACAACAAAAAUUUAAAAAAAAAAAAAUCAUAUGUGAAUGGAAAAGAAAAAAAAAAGUAAGUUGGGCAAAUAAUCAUUUUAACAUAAAUUUUCCAAGUAUAGAAUCUCAUGCAGUGCACCCCUCCCACUCCAAAUACAAAACAAAGCAUUAAUGCAACCUGUUUCUAUACACAGUAUCUUGAUAACAUUUUAAAAAUCAUAAAUAGGUAAAAUACAAUAAGCUUUUAGCAAAUGUAAUCAUAAUUCACUAUUAUUUGACACCAUUGAAAUCAACUACCACUCAGCAAUUUUAGAGUAAUUUCUUUUUGUUUUCACCUUAUAAUUUUCAUAUUACUAUACUGGUAACAUGCUCAAAAUCCUUCCUGCAGUAAAUUAUUUUAUUAAUGGAUAUCUGUCCACCUUAAGACAAACUUCAUUCACAGAGAAAAAUGUAAGAAAGAAUGUAUAAAUCCUAUAUUCAGUUUACUGAUAGAUUUUAGCACUUGACUGAACACCAUAAAACUAAUCCAAAUAACUUUCUUUGGCUGAACACAACACAGAUCCUGUGUUCAUUUAUUGUGUCUACUGGCAAUUAACCAAACAGCUAAAGGAUAUGAUAUAAAAGUGAAUAUUGAGCUGGAGGUGUACCUUUGUGAUAGUAGAGUGUUCUUAGCUCACAAAAGGGCCUAUGUUAAAUCCAAAAAAAAAAAAAGAUGAAUGUAAUGUGAUAUUCUGCCCUUAUGUUGCUCAAAGUUUCCUGAAAGAAAUAUUUAUAAUACCAUAUGAAAAUGCUACAAAAGGUAUAAAGUACUUUGAAAAACACUGGAAGUAGAAGUCAAUGAGAACAUAUAAUCAAAUAAUUUUCUUUUGAAAUGAAACUUAUUUUUUUUUCUUUUUCUUUUUCUUUUUUUUUUUUUUUUGAGAUUGGGGUGUUACUGUGUUGCCCAGGCUGGUCUUAAAUCUCCUGAACUCAAGGGAUCCUCUAAGGGCUGAGACUACAGGCCACCACACCCAGCUCAGAUUUCUUAUAGACUUACCAAAGGAGGUAGAAGGACAUUGGUGUUUGAACUGAAUUACAGUGUUAUCUGAGCAUUUUUACCCUUUAAAAUGAACACUGAUCUAAUCUGUAAUAGAAUCUUUGCUAAAAGGAAAACAGCUAUAAAGAAAAUAUUACAUCAAAGCUAAGUACUGGAGUUUAUUUGAAAUUUGAUAUUUUAUACAAAAUAACAAACCCUAUUAUAGAUUUCUAAAAUAAAGUAACUCAAUCUUUACAAAACAGUUGGCAUCCAUUUGUUCUCUUACUUUUUCUUUAAAAACUUAAGUGUGGUAGGUGGUAGUAUCUGAUUUUCAUAAGAAUCCUCUGUUGAUUCAACUUAUUUAUUCAGACAUUUACUGUGCCAACUUGCACUAGAAAUAGAAAUGCCUUGGGCUGGGAUUGUGGCUCAGUGGCAGAGCGCUCGCCUAGCUCGCCUAGCUCCUGUGAGGCCCUGGGUUCAAUCCACAGCACCACAUAAAAACAAGUAAAAUAAAGGUAUUGUGUCCAUCUACAACUAAAAAACAAAUUUUAAAAAAAGAAGAAAUAUAAAUGACUGUGGUCUAAAAAAAUUCUAGAAUGAACACAGAUCUUCUGCCUUCAGAUUCCCUCUGCCCUCCACAUUCUAACCCUUUAACAUAAAUCUAGUUAUUAAAAUAAUACAAAUCAUCUCAAAAAAAUAAUAUAAAAUUUUAUGUGUAUAUACAGAUAAUCUGUGAGGUCAUUGUUCUUUUCUGGGUAGACUUAAUAAUGUUUGUUUUCUCAUUUUGCAGUGUUAGAAUACGGGUCAAUUUUAAUUUUGGUAUGAUAUGGAAAAUGGCUCAUCUUUAUACAAGAAAUAGGAUUCUUUUGAUAUCUGGACAGUUGGAAACUUUCUAAAAUUAAGGAUUUUGUACUGUAUAUUCAACAACUGCAUAUUGUAUUCACAAAAAUGUAUUUGAAGUUUGUUAAUAUUAAAUACUUUUUUCCAAGGAAA